rnacentral:lncRNA from 1 species
AGGACUCAAAAAUAGGCCUUGCCCAGGGUGAGCCUUACUGGCCUGUCUGACCACAAGGAGACCUUCCCUCCCUGGGUCCCCCUUCUCCCUCUCCUUCCAGAGGCAGGCAGGCAGAGGAGGCCCAGGUGAAGGGUAUGGUCUCUAGAUGACUCAGAGGUCAAAGGUCAUCUCCAGGUCUCCCAGGUCUGGCUCUAGAAGGUGCUGAGCACACUUGUCAAAUGACUGAGGACCUGCCAACGCUCGCACUCUGAACCCAGGCGUGGCUUCAGCUUGUGGCCAGCCCUCACUGCCCGAGUGGCCGAGGCCAAGUCUUUCUCUUUCUUUGGCUCUCGCUUUGUCUCUCUGGGUCCACUAGUUUCCACACAGCUGCUCUGGAGGGCUCUUUAAAUGGCUUCUUAGUGAGUGUAAAAGGGGUGCUGGGGUGUGGACCUAUUAAUUGAACUGUUUCCAGUGAUCAGCCACCCAGGUAGUACUUUUGUUCCCUGUGAGUCUUCCCACAGUGCCUGUCCCCACACGGUGGCCCAGAACCCUGUCACCACCCCACUCCUCAAAACCUUUUUAGC